AUUGAACGCUGGCGGAAUGCUUUACACAUGCAAGUCGAACGGCAGCACGGACUUCGGUCUGGUGGCGAGUGGCGAACGGGUGAGUAAUGUAUCGGAACGUGCCCAGUCGUGGGGGAUAACGUAGUGAAAAUUACGCUAAUACCGCAUACGAUCUAUGGAUGAAAGCGGGGGAUCGCAAGACCUCGCGCGAUUGGAGCGGCCGAUAUCAGAUUAGGUAGUUGGUGGGGUAAAGGCCGACCAAGCCAACGAUCUGUAGCUGGUCUGAGAGGACGACCAGCCACACUGGAAGUGAGACACGGUCCAGACUCCUACGGGAGGCAGCAGUGGGGAAUUUUGGACAAUGGGCGAAAGCCUGAUCCAGCCAUUCCGCGUGCAGGAUGAAGGCCCUCGGGUUGUAAACUGCUUUUGUACAGAACGAAAAGGUUUCUACUAAUAAUAGGAGCUCAUGACGGUACUGUAAGAAUAAGCACCGGCUAACUACGUGCCAGCCGCCGCAGUAA
rnacentral:rRNA from 1 species